rnacentral:rRNA from 1 species
GAUGAACGCUAGCUACAGGCUUAACACAUGCAAGUCGAGGGACCGGCGCACGGGUGAGUAACACGUAUCCAACCUGCCCUUUACUCGGGGAUAGCCUUUCGAAAGAAAGAUUAAUACCAGAUAAAAAGGAUGGGGAUGCGUUCCAUUAGGUUGUUGGUGAGGUAACGGCUCACCAAGAAUUAGAUGGAUAGGGGUUCUGCGAGGAAGGUCCCCCACAUUGGAACUGCGACACGGUCCAAACUCGUACGGGAGGCAGCAGUGAGUAAUAUGGGUCAAUGGGCGCUAGCCUGAAACAGCCAAGUAGCGUGAAGGAUGAAGGCUUAUGGGUCGUAAACUUCUUUUAUAUAAGAAUAUGUAUUAUAUGAAUAAGGAGCGGCUAACUCCGUGCCAGCAGCCGCGGUAAUUC